AACGAACGCUGGCGGCAUGCCUAACACAUGCAAGUCGAACGAGACCUUCGGGUCUAGUGGCGCACGGGUGCGUAACGCGUGGGAACCUGCCCUUAGGUUCGCAAUAACUCCCCGAAAGGGGUGCUAAUACCGGAUAAUGUCUUCGGACCAAAGAUUUAUCGCCUUUGGAUGGGCCCGCGUUGGAUUAGCUAGUUGGUAGGGUAAAAGCCUACCAAGGCGACGAUCCAUAGCUGGUCUGAGAGGAUGAUCAGCCACACUGGGACUGAGACACGGCCCAGACUCCUACGGGAGGCAGCAGUGGGGAAUAUUGGACAAUGGGCGAAAGCCUGAUCCAGCAAUGCCGCGUGAGUGAUGAAGGCCUUAGGGUUGUAAAGCUCUUUUACCCGGGAUGAUAAUGACAGUACCGGGAGAAUAAGCUCCGGCUAACUCCGUG
rnacentral:rRNA from 1 species